rnacentral:rRNA from 1 species
AUUGAACGCUGGCGGCAUGCCUUACACAUGCAAGUCGAACGGCAGCACGGGAGCAAUCCUGGUGGCGAGUGGCGAACGGGUGAGUAAUAUAUCGGAACGUGCCCAGUCGUGGGGAUAACGUAGCGAAAGUUACGCUAAUACCGCAUACGAUCUAAGGAUGAAAGCGGGGGAUCGCAAGACCUCGCGCGAUUGGAGCGGCCGAUAUCAGAUUAGGUAGUUGGUGAGGUAAAGGGCUCACCAAGCCAACGAUCUGUAGCUGGUCUGAGAGGACGACCAGCCACACUGGAACUGAGACACGGUCCAGACUCCUACGGGAGGCAGCAGUGGGGAAUUUUGGACAAUGGGCGCAAGCCUGAUCCAGCAAUGCCGCGUGCAGGAUGAAGGCCUCGGUUGUAACGU